ACGCUGGCGGCGUGCUUAACACAUGCAAGUCGAGCGGAAAGGCUCCUUCGGGGGUACUCGAGCGGCGAACGGGUGAGUAACACGUGAGUAAUCUGCCCUUGGCUUUGGGAUAAGCCCCGGAAACGGGGUCUAAUACCGGAUACGACGCACUCUCGCAUGGGAUGUGUGUGGAAAGUUUUUUCGGCCAGGGAUGUGCUCGCGGCCUAUCAGCUUGUUGGUGGGGUAAUGGCCUACCAAGGCUUCGACGGGUAGCCGGCCUGAGAGGGUGACCGGCCACACUGGGACUGAGACACGGCCCAGACUCCUACGGGAGGCAGCAGUGGGGAAUAUUGGACAAUGGGCGGAAGCCUGAUCCAGCAACGCCGCGUGAGGGAUGACGGCCUUCGGGUUGUAAACCUCUUUCAGUACCGACGAAGCGCCGAUGAUGGUGGUGACGGUAGGUACAGAAGAAGCACCGGCCAACUAACGUG
rnacentral:rRNA from 1 species